GUAGCAAGAAACACUUGCCAGGAAACAGAAGAUGCUGGAGAGCAGAUCUGAUUCUAGCGUGACCCAGAAGAGGGCUAAAAACAGAGCCUGGAAAACUGGACCAAGUUUCGAUUGAUCUCAGCGACUGACCGGCAGCCUAAAAGAACAAUGUGGUUACAAGCUCAUUUUUCUCAAACACCAGCAACUCACCUCAUCAUGGGCAAGGCCCCAUAGGAUUGGUCUCCCAAGAAAAAUGCACUUAGCUCCAAGGGCCAGAGCCUUCAGCACAUCAUUGCCAGUUCGGACCCCGCCAUCCAGGGUGGCACAACUACAAAGCCUCUCCACUGCAAAGGCAAAGACAAGUACACUUGGCCAUGGCCUGCAUGUCUGGAUUGCAUCCUGACUUGGGAAACUGGGCUGAACAUUAUUUCUCAUGCACCACUUGACCAACUUGUCCCUGACUCCCUCAUGGCGUAUCUGAGAAAAUGAGAUAGGACUAAAGUACAACAUGGUAAAACUAAAGUUUGAGCCUUUGAUAGACAAAAU